rnacentral:rRNA from 1 species
GACAUAGGUGGCGACCGUUAUCCGGAAUUAUUGGGCGUAAAGGAUGCGUAGAUGGUAGAAUAAGUUACUGGUUGAUGCCAAACUCAAUUUGACGGAAGCUGGUAAUACUGUUUUGCUAGAGGACAGGAGAGGUUGAUGGAAUUCUGUGUGGAGCGGUGAAAUGCGUUGAUCUACAGAGGAACACCAAAAAAGGCGAAGGCAGUCAACUAUCCUGUUCCUGACAUUGAGGCAUGAAAGCGUGGGGAGCAAACCGG